rnacentral:rRNA from 1 species
GAUGAACGCUAGCGGCAGGCUUAACACAUGCAAGUCGAGGGGUAUUGGUUUUCGGACCAAGAGACCGGCGCACGGGUGCGUAACGCGUAUGCAAUCUACCUUUUGCAGAGGGAUAGCCCAGAGAAAUUUGGAUUAAUACCUCAUAGUAUAGUACUUUGGCAUCAAGGAACUAUUAAAGUCACAACGGCAAAAGAUGAGCAUGCGUCCCAUUAGCUAGUUGGUAAGGUAACGGCUUACCAAGGCUACGAUGGGUAGGGGUCCUGAGAGGGAGACUCCCCCACACUGGUACUGAGACACGGACCAGACUCCUACGGGAGGCAGCAGUGAGGAAUAUUGGUCAAUGGGGCNCAAGCCUGAACCAGCCAUGCCGCGUGCAGGAAGACGGUCUAUGGAUUGUAAACUGCUUUUANACAGGAACGAAACCCUCCCACGUGUGGGAGCUUGACGGUACUGUAGGAAUAAGGAUCGGCUAACUCCGUGCCAGCAGCCGCGGUAAAGUGACU